GCGGAGGCGGCAGCGACGGACGGCGGCACGCCCCAGAGCAUUGUGGGAAUGGCGUCCCGCGGCCCCUCCCAGUCGGCAGGUCGAAACCAAAAGAGACGUAUCUCUAAGCAAUAGGGGCACUACAGACCACAUGGACAGUUUAGUCAAGUUAGAAGACAUCAACAAUGAAGACUGGAACACAAAGCUUUAAUUUUAGUUUGAAGAUAGGUGAAAAUCACAACUUGGACUUGGUUCAAGGCUUUUAUAUUGGUGUACCGCAAAAGCAGUUAAUAAGCAGUGCUAAGGAUAUAAAUGAGGUAA